rnacentral:rRNA from 1 species
CAUCCUCCAAGGCUAAAUACUCCUGACUGACCGAUAGUGAACCAGUACCGUGAGGGAAAGGCGAAAAGAACCCCGGCGAGGGGAGUGAAAAAGAACCUGAAACCGUGUACGUACAAGCAGUGGGAGCCCCACCACUAAGCCAGUGGUGAACUCCACAUACGCAUCCUUUGCUGAGGAUACGGUUAACGGAGCGCAAGCGACGUUCAACCGCAAAAGAAGCAGAGGGGGCUUAGUGGUGGGGUGACUGCGUACCUUUUGUAUAAUGGGUCAGCGACUUAUAUUCUGUAGCAAGGUUAACCGAAUAGGGGAGCCGGAGGGAAACCGAGUCUUAAUUGGGCGUUAAGUUGCAGGGUAUAGACCCGAAACCCGGUGAUCUAGCCAUGGGCAGGUUGAAGGUUGGGUAACACUAACUGGAGGACCGAACCGACUAAUGUUGAAAAAUUAGCGGAUGACCUGUGGCU